UAAGUUAAAAACUUUCAACAACGGAUCUCUUGGUUCUGGCAUCGAUGAAGAACGCAGCGAAAUGCGAUAAGUAAUGUGAAUUGCAGAAUUCAGUGAAUCAUCGAAUCUUUGAACGCACAUUGCGCCCAUUAGUAUUCUAGUGGGCAUGCCUGUUC
rnacentral:rRNA from 1 species